AUAUAACUGAUGAGUCCAAAAUAGGACGAAACAAGUGUCCUGAAU
rnacentral:hammerhead_ribozyme from 1 species